UUUUCAAAUUAACAAGUGGCAAUGUAAAAAGUUGAGAAGUAACUACAUAUUACUGAUGGAAAGAAAUACAUGGCGAGGACAUAACGAGGUGGAAGAAAAAAAGGCAUAAUAAAAAUGGUGUUGUUGUUAAAGGGGUGAGAGAGAAGAGAGUUUCUUCAGGAAUUCAUAAAUGAUUUAUUGUGAUAAACCUAUUUCACAAAUUAUGCUAUUUAAUAUUUUAUAAAUCAUGGUAAUCAUCAUCUUAUAAUACUAUGUGAUUUUUAAGCAUUGUACGAAAUAU
rnacentral:lncRNA from 1 species